GUGGCCUGUAAACAACUGUCUCAAAGAAGAUCAACAGUACCAUUAUCAAUGCAGCGAUUCAGAAAUAACGGGUUGCACUCGCAACCAAGCAACACUACACAAUAACAAACAUAGUCUGGUAUGGUUGUUUUAAAAUUUGUCAUUCAAGUAAAUCCGGGAUAUUGAUUAUCUUAUAUACAGGCGAUAUUACUAGAAUAGUAUAGGUGUUGACUAUUCUACAUAUUACAGCUGGAUAGGGUCGGGCCCCUCAGGUAAUGUAAGCCUGAAUGGCACUUGGCACUUCUGUAGCGCCCACUGCUGUGGUGAUCAGCAGAUGCAGUAGCCCUCGUGCACAGGGAAUACAACGGCAGCCGGUGACAAUUAACACGGUCUCUGCAUUUAUUCCCGCGACGGGCACUUACUGGAUUCUGCCUUUCCACCUCCCAAACAUAUUCUCCAUCCAUCCUGUGAAAGGGUCAUUAAUGCCGGAGUUCUCUGCCAAUUCUAACCUGAGGGAUUGUAAUCAUACCAGCGCCCUGGCCACCAACCCAUCCGGAGCGAUUCAAAUCCUGCUGUUAUUUGAUCUCCUCAUGUGACUGUUAGUCCUUGCUCGGCGGUGGUAGUUUGUAGGCUCCGGGUGUGUCUGCAUCUGGUUCUGGAACUUUUGUUUCUAUUGCAGAAAUACAAACUCAUGUACAG